rnacentral:rRNA from 1 species
AUUGAACGCUGGCGGCAGGCUUAACACAUGCAAGUCGAACGAUGAUUUCCCAGCUUGCUGGGAAUGAUUAGUGGCGGACGGGUGAGUAACAUUUAGGAAUCUGCCUAGUAGUGGGGGAUAGCUCGGGGAAACUCGAAUUAAUACCGCAUACGACCUACGGGUGAAAGGGGGCGCAAGCUCUUGCUAUUAGAUGAGCCUAAAUCAGAUUAGCUAGUUGGUGGGGUAAAGGCCCACCAAGGCGACGAUCUGUAACUGGUCUGAGAGGAUGAUCAGUCACACCGGAACUGAGACACGGUCCGGACUCCUACGGGAGGCAGCAGUGGGGAAUAUUGGACAAUGGGGGCAACCCUGAUCCAGCCAUGCCGCGUGUGUGAAGAAGGCCUUUUGGUUGUAAAGCACUUUAAGCAGGGAGGAGAGGCUAAUGGUUAAUACCCAUUAGAUUAGACGUUACCUGCAGAAUAAGCACCGGCUAACUCUGUGCCAGCAGCCGCGGUAAUACAGAGGGUGCGAGCGUUAAUCGGAAUUACUGGGCGUAAAGCGAGUGUAGGUGGCUCAUUAAGUCACAUGUGAAAUCCCCGGGCUUAACCUGGGAACUGCAUGUGAUACUGGUGGUGCUAGAAUAUGUGAGAGGGAAGUAGAAUUCCAGGUGUAGCGGUGAAAUGCGUAGAGAUCUGGAGGAAUACCGAUGGCGAAGGCAGCUUCCUGGCAUAAUAUUGACACUGAGAUUCGAAAGCGUGGGUAGCAAACAGGAUUAGAUACCCUGGUAGUCCACGCCGUAAACGAUGUCUACUAGCCGUUGGGGUCCUUGAGACUUUAGUGGCGCAGUUAACGCGAUAAGUAGACCGCCUGGGGAGUACGGCCGCAAGGUUAAAACUCAAAUGAAUUGACGGGGGCCCGCACAAGCGGUGGAGCAUGUGGUUUAAUUCGAUGCAACGCGAAGAACCUUACCUGGUCUUGACAUAGUGAGAAUCUCUCAGAGAUGAGAGAGUGCCUUCGGGAACUCACAUACAGGUGCUGCAUGGCUGUCGUCAGCUCGUGUCGUGAGAUGUUGGGUUAAGUCCCGCAACGAGCGCAACCCUUUUCCUUAUUUGCCAGCGGGUUAAGCCGGGAACUUUAAGGAUACUGCCAGUGACAAACUGGAGGAAGGCGGGGACGACGUCAAGUCAUCAUGGCCCUUACGACCAGGGCUACACACGUGCUACAAUGGUAGGUACAGAGGGUUGCUACACAGCGAUGUGAUGCUAAUCUCAAAAAGCCUAUCGUAGUCCGGAUUGGAGUCUGCAACUCGACUCCAUGAAGUCGGAAUCGCUAGUAAUCGCAGAUCAGAAUGCUGCGGUGAAUACGUUCCCGGGCCU